rnacentral:lncRNA from 1 species
AUGUGGGGCCUGAGAAGAAGCCAUGGACACCACGAAGAAAGGGACACCAAAGAAGCAGUGAACAAGGCAGAGGCGCGGACACUUCGAAGAUAUAGUCUUUGUAGUCAAAUCAGUCUGCAGAAGCCCAGAAAAAAAGAAGUGGCCGAAUCUGAGACUGAUUCCAGCCUACAGGGAAUUCUAAGACAGAGCACACAUGACAGAAUACGUGGUUCCAUGACGGGUCCAUGGGUAGGUUGAAGGGAGCAACUAAGCCAGGUACAGUCAUCUGUCCUGUUGCAGAAGCACGGGUUUCUUUUUAUUAAUUUAAGAGAGGGGAAUUGUCCGGGGUCAGGAAAUAACAUUAAGAAAUAUCUCGGAGGUACAAACCUCCAGUUCAGCUCCGACCUACAAUUGUAUUGCAGAUUCAAGCUAAUCUGCUAUUGAAUGACAUGGCCUCAGUGGAGAAUGUCCCCUCGUUUGCAUCUCUACAGGACUAAGCAUUUGAAUAGGCCUGCACCUGGGCAGAGGUUAGGUGUGUAAGUAACAAGUGAGGAGAGAGUUAGGAGUGCGUGGGCAAGGAGAAUCACCUGAAGGAGAGAGAAAUGACCAUGUGGCCAUGGAAGCGUGGUUAGGAAACAGCCCAAGAACAUGCUGAAUAAACAAGAGACUCCAGUUUUGCA